GGUGAAGCAUCUGAGCUUAGCGGCGGACGGGUGCGUAACGCGUGGGUAAUCUGCCCUUGUCACCGGGAUAACACAUCGAAAGGUGUGCUAAUACCGGAUGAAAUACAGACCUGGCAUCGGGACUGUAUCAAAGUCAUGCGGACAAGGAUGAGCCUGCGUCUGAUUAGCUGGUUGGUGGGGUAAAGGCCUACCAAGGCGACGAUCAGUAGCCGACCUGAGAGGGUGAUCGGCCACACUGGAACUGAGACACGGUCCAGACUCCUACGGGAGGCAGCAGUGGGGAAUAUUGCACAAUGGGCGCAAGCCUGAUGCAGCAACGCCGCGUGAGUGAUGAAGGCCUUCGGGUCGUAAAACUCUGUCCUAAGGGAAGAUAAUGACGGUACCUUAGGAGGAAGCCCCGGCUAACUACGUGCCAGCAGCCGCGGUAAUACGUAGGGGGCAAGCGUCAUCCGGAAUUACUGGGCGUAAAGGGUGCGUAGGUGGCCUGACAAGUCAGGGGUCAAAGGCAACGGCUCAACCGUUGUAAAGCCUUGAAACUGUCGGGCUUGA
rnacentral:rRNA from 1 species